rnacentral:rRNA from 1 species
AGAGCGAACGCUGGCGGCAUGCUUAACACAUGCAAGUCGCACGGGCAGGGGCAACCCUGUCAGUGGCGGACGGGUGAGUAACGCGUAGGUAUCUAUCCUUGGGUGGGGGACAACUGUGGGAAACUACAGCUAAUACCGCAUGAUGACCGAGGUCCAAAGCUCGCGAGAGCGCCUGGGGAGGAGCCUGCGUACGAUUAGCUAGUUGGUGGGGUAAAGGCCUACCAAGGCGACGAUCGUUAGCUGGUCUGAGAGGAUGAUCAGCCACAUUGGGACUGAGACACGGCCCAAAACUCCUACGGGAGGCAGCAGUGGGGAAUAUUGGACAAUGGGCGCAAGCCUGAUCCAGCAAUGCCGCGUGUGUGAAGAAGGUCUUCGGAUUGUAAAGCACUUUCGACGGGACGAUGAUGACGGUACCCGUAGAAGAAGCCCGGCUAACUUCGUGCCAGCAGCCGCGGUAA